GAAGACACAUUCCAGCCAAUCAGCAGCAGACCCUCCCUCCCAGAUCCUCCCACUUCCUGGAAAGCAUCCAUUGUGAAGCUGCGUUCUUAGUGAGCUGUCCAGGAGGUGGGAGGGUCUGGGAGGGAGGGUCUGCUGCUGAUUGCCUGGAAUGUGUCUG
rnacentral:miRNA from 1 species